rnacentral:lncRNA from 1 species
CAGGCAUCUGACUUUCUAGUGACUAGGACAAGGUCAUGGCAAGCACGUGUUACUGUCAUGGCUGCCGAAAUGGGGAGCUGAUCCCUUCUCCUCUUCAGUGACUUGUUUGGUGAGUUGGCCCCUGAGUGCUUCAUGUCCUUGGUCCUUGCAAAGGUGAACACAGGGACCCUCCUUUUCUGUCUUUUUCUUUGUGUCAGUCUGGUAUCCCUGGUGCAUUAGGUAGGAACAUCUACUACACUUAGGUCCGACACACUUCCUGUUUUUGUUCUAGUCUGUCUUAGAUUUCAUUCAUUCUACAGCUCCUGCCAGUAAGAGAAUGGGGAACUUACCCUCCCAUUGUUAGGAGCCUCAGUGUUUCCUGCAGUGUAUUUCCACACUCCAAGUUCUCAUGGCACUUCAACACCUAGAAUGUGGCCCCCUUGAGGUCUUUUGGGCCUAGCUCACAGAAAUUCCUGAGGCAUCAGUUUAACAGGUGCUCCUCUCACCUUGGCAAGCUUACCAGAGAUGUCAUUCUUCCAGGGCCAGUAGACAAUGACAGGGCUGGCUCCUGACAUGGAGAGAUGGCUCAGCAGUUAAGAGCACUGACUGCUCUUCCAGAGGUCCUGAGUUCAAUUCCCGGCAACCACAUGGUGGCUCACAAUCACCUUGAAUGAGAUCUGGUACCCUCUGCUGGCAUGCAGGCAGAAGACUGUAUACAUAAUAAAUAAAAUCUUUUUAAAAAAAAAAAA